CUAUUAUGUUUAAUAAUUUUGUUUUUUCUUCAGUAUUUAAAUGAUCUAGCCUCAAUUGAUCGAUGAGUUUCCUAUAUUUAUGAUUGAUAUUUGGUAAAUUAGAAAAUUUAUUAUUUAUAUCAACUUGUUGAAAAUUAUUCAAUUCUAUGUUUAAUGGAAAGUCUAGUGAAAAAUAUUGUGAUGCAAUGGAUCUAUUUUCCACUUGUAUAAAUGCUUUAUUCUGUUGUGCACGAUAAAUUCCUGCACAUAUGAAUAGAUUUGGUAAAAUUUCAUAAUCAUAUUCAAUAUAGAAGUCUCCAUUUUCAGCAACAGUAGGAACUUCAAUGGUACACCUGCUUUGACCAGGGAUUUCUAUUGAAACAAUUUCUGGAUAUUUUUUAUAUAAUUUGAAUAGAAAACCUGAAAUAUUUAGUAUGCUAUUUUUAGCAUCAAUUAAUGCUCCUAAUUGUUGUAAUGUUUCAUAGCCAAUUAGGCCAUCAAAGAAUUUGUGAAAAUCGAAAACAUGAAAUAUAAAUGUAGUUUGAAUGAUGUCCGGAAAUGGGUUGAAAUUUACAUAACUUUUUAUUACAUGUUUGCCCAUAAUAUUUGUAAUAGUUGCUGGAAAGGGUAGUUGUUCUGCUCUAUUAACUAAUCGCGGGCUAAGAUAAUUUUUGUUUGCUCCUGUAUCUAUGAGUAGUUUUACGUCGAAUCCUUGAGCUGUUCUCAAUCUUAGAUAUGGUAUGCAAUUUAGGUUAUCGAAUCUUGAUUGGGUACCAUCCGAAAAUUUAAAUUGUCUAUUAAAUUUGCUUUCUGAUCUGAGGUUUCUUUAGAAAUUUUAUCUGAUUGUCCAACUGUUUCUAUAGGUUUUUCAUUAUUUUGACAUGGAUAAAAGUAUUCAGAUGGAUUUUCAUAAUAGUACUCAUAGGGAUUAUUUUCAAUCCAAUGUCCAUCAUUAUUUGUAUAUGUUUCAUUUUCUGAAGGAUCUUCAGUAUUAUGAAGUUCUUCAACAUGGAAUUUUGGAGGUCCAUUUUGUUGGAAAAAAUUCCUUCGAUUUUGUUGUGGAUACGAUGGUUUGGAAUUAUUAAAAUUGGGUCGAUUCACAUAAUUUACUUGCUUAGUUCGUAUUGAACGAUCUACUUCCAUUGGAGCAGGCUUAGGUUGAUAUAUGGGAAAAGGUUUUGGGGCAAAAACGUUUCUGUUGGGAACAGGCAAUUUGGGAAUGUUAUCGUAAAAAUUUCUUGUUUGUUGUAUAGGCAUUCUAGGAUUUGGUGGUUGAAAAUAUGAAAAAGUAGGUUGAUUUGUUUGCUUAGGAAGAGAAGGAUAGAAGGGUGAUGAUUUUAAUCCUUGUUUGGCCUGAAAAUUUCGUUCUUCAACACAUGCAUCAAAAGCUUCUUUUAAAGUAGAUGGUUUCCUUGCUCUAACAUUUCCACCUAUUGGUUCUUUUAAACCAGCAAGAAAAACUUGCAAUGCAUUUUCCUUAUGUGUCGCGAUUCUGUCCGUUUUCAAAUCAUUAUCCUGAAUUAAAAUAUUUGUAUUGUUGAUUAAAAGGGAAAGCAAAUUUUGAACCUGUCCAUAAAAAUUUUCAAUAGUUGUUAUUUGUUGUACCUGGAAUAAUUCACGCGUUAAAGUUACACAGUCUCGCUUAUCGUUGUAGUAAGCGAUUAAAUUUGCUUUGAUAUCAUUCCAAAUUAAUGGAGUUCCAUAAAUUUCAAGUAUCUGAUCUGCUUCACCAAUAAUUUUUGCACGAAUGGAUUGUAACCAAACAUUAAAAAAUGGAGUAUUUUCUAAUGCAGAUAUGAAAGGAAAUAAAUUAUCUACUGAUCUUAUGAAAUUAUGAAGUUUCACGGGGUUUCCAUUAAAUGUUGGCAAAUCUCUAAUAGCUUGAAGAGUUUGCAUAGAUUUCAGAACUAUUUCAGCUUGUUGAAACAUUUGAGCUGUUUCAUCUGCAUCAAGUGCAUUACCAUUAUGAGCCAUUUUGAAAUAUUUGUUAAAUGAAUCAAUAUUAAAAUAAAAUUUUCAAAUACCAAAAUUAUUUUUUAUUGUUACGAGUAAUUUGUUCUUCUUUCUUAAUUCGAGCCCACCGUUCAACUUCACGGGCAUAAAAUUCUUUUUUCUGUUUUUUCGUGAGAUGUGCGGGUGUUUUGCGAAUUAUUUUUUUAUUUUCUGUAUUUGGGAUAUAUGGAGGUUGAUUCACAUUAUCCCAAUUUUCAUUUUCCAUAUUUUAUUUAAAAA